AAUUAAUAGAAAAGCCAUUCAGGAAGUUAUAGUGAAAAAAGAAAUGAAAUUCAGUUUUUUAAGUUAUGGCAUUCAAUCAGACGUUACACAACGCUGGAAUGAAUUUCAAUCCGAAGUAAGUGAUUUUUAUAACAUAUAUUUUUAUAUUUGAUACAACGUAGGCAACUAUCUACCUUCACAUUAUUAUAUAUAUAUGGUGGUUCAAUGUAAACGUAAAAGAUAAAAGUUAAAGAGCAUAGGUACAACUAGGAUGUAUACUAGUUAUUUUUUAUCACUCCCAAGUUUGAAAUUAGCGCCCCCUAAAAUUUGUUAUAGUAUCGAGUAAAUAUUUUAUCCAUAACAUAUUUCAUAAUUAAUAAGCAGAACAAAAUACAGAUUACCUACAAACAAUGCACGAUUUAUUGAUGAUAAAUAUAUAUAAUAGACAUUUUAAUUUUGAGA